rnacentral:rRNA from 1 species
GAUGAACGCUGGCGGCGUGCCUAAUACAUGCAAGUCGAGCGAACAGACGAGGAGCUUGCUCCUCUGACGUUAGCGGCGGACGGGUGAGUAACACGUGGAUAACCUACCUAUAAGACUGGGAUAACUUCGGGAAACCGGAGCUAAUACCGGAUAAUAUAUUGAACCGCAUGGUUCAAUAGUGAAAGACGGUUUUGCUGUCACUUAUAGAUGGAUCCGCGCCGCAUUAGCUAGUUGGUAAGGUAACGGCUUACCAAGGCAACGAUGCGUAGCCGACCUGAGAGGGGGAGCGGCCACACGGGAACUGAGACACGGUCCAGACUCCGACGGGAGGCAGCAGUAGGGAAUCUUCCGCAAUGGGCGAAAGCCUGACGGAGCAACGCCGCGUGAGUGAUGAAGGUCUUCGGAUCGUAAAACUCUGUUAUUAGGGAAGAACAAAUGUGUAAGUAACUAUGCACGUCUGGACGGUACCUAAUCAGAAAGCCACGGCUAACUACGUG